CGAUCGCGUAUUUGUGUAGGACUUGUCGGUGGAAAGAUUUACCCUACGAGAGAGAGAAUUGGAUCGUGGGUUCUCGAGACACGAGACAGACAGUUGGAAACAACGUCGUAAGGUAAAGACAAAAACGACUUGGGGUAAUUUCUCUUAAGUACACGGCAGUGGCGGAUUUAGAAAAUAAUUUUACCGGGGGCAAAGUAAUAUGCCGACUUUUUAAGAUAAAAAAUAAUUUAUUAUAUACUUUUUUAAUAUUGCUAAAUUAUUAUUAUUAUUUAUAUUUCUAAAAAAAUGCUAAAUGGUAAAGGAUAAUAAUAUUUGUUAACUUUAUAAUAGCUAACUAUAAUUUUAUUUUCAGUUAUUACAUCAUUAAAAAUGGUAUAAACAGUACUAUUUCACAUUUUUGAAAAAUGCUUUAACUCUGGGAAAAGAUAUUAGUUAGAGAAUGUGUAUAAUUUUAAUAAAACAAAAACAUUGUUUGGAAAUAAACCAAUGAAAAUGCUACAUUAAAAAGACAUUUAAAAGAAAGCUAAAUUAGAAAAGAAAAAGCAACCUAAACAAAAUGAAAAUGAAAAUAAUAUUGAUUUUGGUAAUAUUAAGUAUAGUAUAGGAAAGAUAAACAAUUAAUGGUAAGAUUUUUGGAAAGAAAAUAAGCAAAAAAGGAAAUGAAAAUGAAAAGAAAAAAAGAAAGAAGGGGCAUCGUGGGAUCAGAUCAUGGGAUUAAGGGAUGGCAAGUUUCUUCAUUCUACUAUUUGACUUAAAAAAUCUUUACUAAAAUCAAUAAAAAUACAAAAAUAUUGAUAUUUUACUGGGGGCAGCUGCCCCCUCUUCCACUACGUAGAUCCGCCCAUGUACACGGGCUAAAAGAAUUGGAUCGUGGGUUCUCGAGUCGUCUGUGGAUUGAGUGGAUACCCUAAAUUACCCUACGAGAGAGAGAAUUGGAUCGUGGGUUCUCAAGACACGAGACAGACAGUUGAAAACAACGUCGUAGGGUAAAGACAAAAACGACUUGGGAGACGACUCUGAUGAUGAUUUCCUCAUCAUUUUUUGUUUUUUUUUCAACGAUGACCUGACCAUCUCUUCUUCGGUCGUCAUCGUGUUCGUGCCUUGGGAUGAGCGGUUUCUAUGGGUGUAAUAUAUCUAGAAUUUAUUUGCUUUAGAAACUUAAAAGAUUUAAGUUUGACUCUAUUUAUUUGCUGUAGAAACUUACUCAAAACUAAAGCUCUCUCAAUCUUUCUAAACUCUCAACUUAUGCCACAACUUGACAUCUCCUUAUAUAGGAAAACACUUGACCAAAUCCUAAACAGCUACUUUCAUAUUUUAAAAAAUAUGUGACGAUGGAGUCUCGAAUUACUCUGUUUGCAGAUCUCAUAAACAGCUACUUUCAUAUUGAACAUUGUUUUGAAAGAUUUUUAGCAGUCUCGAGUCAUAAUCAAGAACAGAGAGAAACAAUUGAGAACGAAUAUUAAAUUAUAUAUAUAAUAUAAGACAAGAGCUAUAAGCUUAACGGAAUAACAAAUUGGUCCAACUCACUAAUUGUCACUAUUCAUUAACAUAGUUAUUAUAGUGAGCUAAUUAUGGUGUUUGCAGUUAUUUUAUAAGAAAGAUUUGACAUGUUACUUUCAAUCUCUCUGUUUGUAGUGAACUGUCUGCUCUGAUACCAUGAUCUGCUGUUUUGUCGAAGAAACACUUCAUGCAAGAACCAACUUGAACUCUUAACAGGCAUACAUAGUUAGCUAUAUAUCUCUUAAGAUGGGCCUAUAUAUUGGCAUAGUAAUGAUCUUAAGCGGAAUGAUCUAAAAGAUGUUUUGAUGAAGAACCUAGUGUUGAGGAGGGAAGAGAUGGCCAACAGAGCCAUAGACAGGACCACGAAGCCUUGCCAUGGCCUCGUAACAGAGGGUGACGACUGCAUCAAGUCGCUUGUGCAAAGGCAAUCUCAGUAAUAUCAUAGAGGCAUUACUGGCUCCAAAUACUUUGUGAACUGCUGCAAAUCUCGCAGUUCCUUGCUCUGGAUCGAAACAAGGAGCGAAAAUGCACCCUUUCACACACUUUCUCCUCCAAAACUUGCAC
rnacentral:lncRNA from 1 species